rnacentral:rRNA from 1 species
UACGGAGGGUGCAAACGUUGCUCGGAAUUAUUGGGCGUAAAGCGCACGCAGGCGGCCUGUUAAGUCGGAUGUGAAAGCCCUCGGCUCAACUGAGGAAGUGCAUUCGAAACUGGCGGGCUUGAGUAUGGUAGAGGGUCGCGGAAUUCCCGGUGUAGAGGUGAAAUUCGUAGAUAUCGGGAGGAACACCAGUGGCGAAGGCGGCGACCUGGGCCAAUACUGACGCUCAUGUGCGAAAGCGUGGGGAGCAAACAGG